rnacentral:rRNA from 1 species
CAGUCACGUCUGCCAGGGCUCAGCCUUGCUUCUGCUUGGUGUACUUUCUGGUUUGAUGGGCCAACAUCAAUUUUGACCGUUGGAGAAAGGCUUUGGGAAUGUGGCACCUUAGGGUGUGUUAUAGCCCUUUGUUGUAUACAACGGUUGGGAUUGAGGUUUCAGUGCACGCUUCGGUUGUGCUUUGAUGCUGGCGUAAUGGCUUUAAGCGACCGUUUGAAACCGGACCAAGGAGUCUAACAUAUGUGCGAGUG